AACAGCCACAGCCAGACUCAGAUGCUCUCUCUCCCGUUAGAGCUGACUUUACCAACAUGUGUUACCUCACUGUAAAGAAUCUAUGUGAUGAAUAUUUCUCGGACAUCUCUCAUGGUCCUGUCUAAGGAAGAAAGGAACAAGGAAUAAAACAGACAAAACUUGAAAACUUUUACAAAGACAAAGCGAAGAGGGUCUUUAUUACAGUAAAAAUGCAGCAGGAUGAACAGAAGGAUAACUCUGGAGCAACUUGCAGAAAGCUCUUCGGAUGUUUGUCCUUUGGAAUACAGAGAAAACCAGCUAGAGCCCCAAAAUGGCUUUUUUUUG